AGGUAGGCCAGACCCUAGAGUCAGGAGUUAGAUUUUACAAUGCAAGGUCUCCAGUCUCCAGAUUUCACAACACAAGGUCACAGGCCUUCUGACCCUGGGACUGUAGGCACAGGCCUCGGAAAUUGACUCAGCGGUCUCUCGGGAGGUGUGCAGAAGGCUGUUACAAGGCACAUCCAUUCGUCUCUCAAGGAGGGAAGAGUGGGCUUCAUUUUUCUUCUACUUUGCUGUAGAAAGUGUGUGAAAUUCAGCCCAGAUUGUGUAGAGUCUCCUGCAGGCUCCUCGCAUGUGUGUAUCUAAUAUGCAUAUUCAGGAAUAAAUCACGUUUCCUGCCUCAUCUAUAUGGGUAUGAGGGGAGAGGAGUCUUUUUGUUGGCAAGACUUUUUAUUUCUCCAACAGCCCCGUUGCUGGAAAUGCUGGCAUUGAGUCUCUCACUCUCCUCCAGAUUUAAAGCUGGAGAAACGUGCUGCAGCCAUUUCUCUGCCCUUAGGGAAGAGGCUGCCUGAGAACAAGGCCAACUCCAAGGAACUGGGCCAACAACCUCAUUAUGGAGCUGAUGGCCUCAGCAUCCUACAAGCGCAUCAGAACUCUGCCUGGCUUCUCGACAGGCAAUUACCUGGAACACCAGGUUCAAGGAUGGAGUGGAAGAUGAUGGAAGAGUGUGUUUUUGUGAGGAGGCCAGAAGACACUCAUAUUCGUUACAGCCCCAGGCACAGAGAGGUUCUCCGGUCCAGUCCUGCAGGUGAACUAAAGAUGCCUCCAGGGGCUGUGCUGAAAAUGGACCAGCUUGGGCCCAGCUUCUCUGUGCCUCUUCCUUUGGCCCUCUGCCUCCUGGUUUUCUUACACUAUAAUCUUUAUAAUCCAUAAUAUCCUGUCCAUCAAACAACCUGCAACCCUUUUCUAAGAAUCUGAAAGUCACUUCUCUGGCCGGGCGCGGUGUCUCACGCCUGUAAUACUAGCACUUUGGGAGGCUGAGGUGGGCAGAUCAUUUGAGGUCGGAGUUCCAGACCAGCCUUGCCAAUAUGGUGAAACGCUGUCUCUACUAAAAAUACAAAAAUUAGCCAGGCAUAGUGGUGGGCGCCUGUAAUCCCAGCUACUCGGGGGACUAAGGCAUGAGAAUCGAUUGAAUCCGGGAGGCAGAUGCUGCAGUGAGCCAAGAUCGAGCCACUGUAAUCCAGCCUGGGCAACAGAGUGAGACUCGGCCUCAAAAAAUAAAAAUAAAAUAAAAAGUGACUUCUCUGCUUCUUCCAAAGCAAGAGAGAGUCCCCACUGGUCACUGGAUAAACUUGUGUGUUUCCGAGCGUUUUGGAUCAGAUUUAUUGGCACUUACUGGAAGCAAAAAAGAGCCUGGAGAUAGCUCUAUUUUAUUUCCAUGAUACCUAGUCCCCAGUUAUAUGACAACUCUAGACUGAGCCCAGCAUGUAGAAGCCAGAAACUCAUUGAGGUUUUUUUAUCCAAAUUAUUUGCUAUAAACAUGAGCUUCCUUUAGGCCAGAGAUUCACAAAUUUGGCUUCACAUUAGAAUUGGUUGGGGGCUAUAAAAAAUCUCCAUGCCCAGGUUGUUUCCAUCCCAUUUAAAUCGGUUUAAACAACGAUUAAUGCCUGGAGGUGGGUCCAGGCAUAGUUUUUAAAGCUUAGCAGUUGAUUGCAACGUCUACCAAGUUUGAAACACUGGCCCGAGGCUGUGGUUUUCAAUGAUGCCUGAACAUUGGAAUCACCUGGAGAUG
rnacentral:lncRNA from 1 species